UAUAGAUAAUGAUUUAACUUAGAAGACUUCAUUUGUAAGCUUUCGGAUUUGGGUGGGAAUAAUCACCAACCCAUGGAAGCUCAAACUGAAAUUGUCAAAAAACUGUGGAGAAUCAGCAUGUUGAGGAUACUUCAUUAUCAAGAUUCACAUGGAGAAUUCACAACUUUUCUAGGAUUACUGCAAAUAAGCUCUAUUCUGAAAUAUUUGUUGUUGGUGGCUAGAAAUGGAAGAGGUUGCUAAAGAGUUUGGCAUAUCAGUUGAAUUCCAGCGCUUUUGGCUAUGGACAAAGCGUAAAAACUAUACAUAUCGUCCUAAUCGGCCAUUGACACACAUUGAGGAAGCACAACCUGUACUGCAAUUGAUCAAAGAAUUGCUUACUUUCUUAUGCUGGUGACGCUGGCAAUUACAUACAUGUUCCAUUGAUACCAUGUAAAGGCUAUAUAAACACAGCAAUACUCCAAUGUACUUUAUAUUGUAUCAAACAGCUUGGAAGUGCAACAAAACUAUCACAAAUUUUUUUUUGCUAUUCUUUCAUUCCUUUUUUGGCAUCUUAUUAUUGAGGAGUGGUUCAACAUCACA